rnacentral:lncRNA from 1 species
AUUGACACCAGAAUGAGUGUUUGGUUGAUCAUGUUGUGUUUGGUUGACUUGACCAGGUGCUGUUAGUUAGGUGUUGCUAUCUACAGUACAGAGAACACCUCAAAGCUAAAUAUUUUCCAGUGACGUCACGUUGGUGUGAAACAUGUUAACCUCGAUGCUAGACCCUCCUCUUCCUGUCACAACAUGAGUUUCAGAGAGAAGGUGAAAACAAGCUGAAAACUUUCCGCUCCAUCGAACCAAUCGCUGCUCGUAUGUCCUUUCAUGGUAAAGUACAUCUAGUCAUGAACACGGAAAUACACAGCAAAGACCUUGUUACUCAAAGACCCAGCUACUCUCUGACAGUCACCAUCAGACCAUCAGACCACCAGAUGGACAGGCUGUUUGUUUCUCUCAUCACUCUCCUGUGUGCCGUUUCCUCCAGUCAGGAUGGGAUCUCUGGAACAGAGGUGGAGCUGAGAGUCAGACCAGGAGACAACGUUGUUCUUCACUGUGAUGUCAAACACCAUGAUAAAACACAUUGGCAUAGAAACAGCUCCAUUGAGAAUGUGGGUCAUUUCAGUGUUUCAAAUCAGGAUAUAAUGGACAAUCCUGUCACUCGCUUCUAUUUCCUGUGGCGUUCUCAACAGUUCUGGGAUCUGCUGAUUGAGAACAUCACUGAAUCUGACCUGGGACUCUGCUACUUUGGGACUUUGAAGAAGAAGUUUCUGAACUUUGAAGGGAAACAAGUCCUCCUGACUGUAUUUGUCCAGAAACCAGUCCUCCUGACUGUAUUUGUCCAGAAACCAGUCCUCCUGACUGUCUAUGUCCAGAAACCAGUCCUCC